CGGGACUCUUGACUUCUAUCGACCUGCGCACGGAAACAAUCGUACGCUGAGUAUUUUAUGCUCAGUGGUAUUACUAUAAUUCAAAUUAUAACAAUAAUAAACAUGUAAUGCAAAAAUCAUACAUAUAAAUUUAAAUUCAAAUUUCAUAUUUCAUAUUUCAACAAUAACAAUUCAUCAAUUAAUAUCAUAUAUCCACAAUUUGAACUUGGAACAUCAUGAACCUUAGGUUCAUUCCUCAAUCU
rnacentral:lncRNA from 1 species